rnacentral:rRNA from 1 species
GACGAACGCUGGCGGCGUGCUUAACACAUGCAAGUCGAACGGAAAGGCACUGCUUUGGUGGGGUGCGCGAGUGGCGAACGGGUGAGUAACACGUGGGUAACCUGCCCUUGACGGUGGGAUAACUGCAGGAAGCUGGGGCUAAUACCCGAUAGGACCUCCGGCUGCAUGGGGGGGGCUGGAAAGUUUCGGCGGUUGGGGUUGGGCUCGCGGCUUAUCCGCUUGUUGGUGGGGUAGUGGCUUAACAAGGCUUUGACGGGUAGCCGGCCUGAGGGGGUGACCGGCCACAUUGGGACUGAGAGACGGCCCAGUGUCCUACGGGAGGCAGCAGUGGGGAACAUUGUACAAUGAGCGCACGCCUGAUGCAGCAACGCUGCGUGCGGGAUGCCGGCCUGCGGGUUGUAAACCGCUUUCGCCUGUUACGAAGCGUGAGUGACGGUAAUGGGUGAAGAAGCACCGGCUAACUACGUG